rnacentral:rRNA from 1 species
AUGUCGAACAACAAAGCCACUGACUUGUUUAACUCCAUCAUCAAUACACUAGCUCUUAGGGAGAUUCAUAUCAGUGGGGGGAAGUAUACUUGGACCAAUAACCAGACUCAUCCCACACUGGAGAAGCUAGAUCGAAUCCUCAUGUCGGAAUGCUGGGAAGAUGUUUUCCCGCUGGUCUCUGUGAGGAAAUUAGUCCGGGAGAUUUCUGAUCAUAACCCUCUUCUGUUAUCCUCCGGGGAAGAGGGGCGCGAAGCCCUGAAACCUCGCGAAUUUCGCUUCAAUCUGUCUUGGAUCAAUGAUGAAAAGUUUCUGCCUGCUGUGAGGAGAAUUUGGGCUAGGAAUGUUGUCUCAUCAGAUCCAAUUGAUAUCCUGAAUAUCAAGCUGAAAAGAUUUAAAACAUAUUUCAAAGGGUGGGGUUCGGAUAAGUAUGGUCAUGAUAAGAAAAGGAAAGAGGACUUACGUUUGGAACUAGCUAUGCUUGAGGAAAUGGAAGAAGAAGAUAUGUUGCCUCCUGACUUGUGUAGUAGAAAGAUGGAUAUCAACGCUGAGUUAUAUGAACUCCUGGUAAACGAGGAAAUAUAUUGGCUCCAACAGUUCCAUGAGCGCUGGCUGCUCAAAGGAGACCUGAAUACUGACUACUAUCACAAAAUUGCUAAUGGGAGCAAACGAAAAAAUACAAUCCAAUCGCUUAAAGUGGGGUAG